UAUGCAUUUUUCUUCCACUAUUUGUGUUAAUCUGUAGUCAGUUGGACGUCUAAAUUAUUUGAAUAGGUACCUAUUUUGUUGUAGUUAAAAUGAGAAUUUCUGGUGAAUUAACUGAUUUGAAGCCUGAAACUCCAAGUACCGAUGAUUGUGUACCAGGCUGCGACUGCCACGACAUCUAUAUUGACCAUACCUGCAUGAAGUAAACAUGGCAACCAGAAGAUACUAGAUAGGUCUGUAUUUAUUAUAAGUAGACAUUAUUAUCCACAUAAUGUUAAAGUGUUAAUAUUAUUACAUCCCAAU